UGUGAUUGGUGGAGAGUUCAGGGAAGUUUUUUGGAAGGGCUGAUGCUGCAAUCAAAUAAUGAGACUUUCAGCACGCACAAGAUGGCAGGUGAUGGGAACGCUCCUUCUGUUUGCCUGUUGGUGUAGCACUGGCAGGACGGCUCCCUGGUCGCAUAAGGAAGCUGGGCUGCUGCAUGGCUCUGCUGAGGACACGGGGGGUGGGCUAUCCCCCUGCAGAGUGGCUCUGCUCCCUGCCAGGCAGAGCUGUCGGUCCCACUGCUGGAAUCAGCAACGUAACGUUUAAACUAUCUAUCCCCCCUCUUGCGGGGCUGGCGAGAAAGCCAGUGUUCCCCCUUUGGGGAAACGAAGGCUGCGUGCGUGGGCACUGCAGUAGCUCUGAAUCACCCCAGCAGAGCGAGGGAUCAAAUCAAGUCACAUUCCAGGGCAUUAGACAGACGGUGGGAAUUAAAAGCUUUACCUGGAAACUGGCUUUGUAUCUCCAAGCCCUGCUUUUGUCUCCCAGCCCAACCCUCUAUUUUUGUCCCUUUUACCUUCUGUGUUGUCGUGCGUCAUGUAUGCCAGGGCUUGGUGCCUGGUUGUGCAGUCACCCCCAGCCACGUUCAGGGAGCCCUCAGUAAAUAUUGGGCUGUGCAGCCUAGAAGGAAACAUUCAGGCAGUAUGGGAAGGUAGGAAAAGUGUGGUUUAUCAAAAACAAGCUGCUUUGGGACUCAUUAAAAGCUAAGGAAGGGCUCCAGCUUCUUUCAGAAGGCUUGGGAUCAGUCAGACUAGAAAGUCCCAUCUGGGCUAUUAGCAGUAAGUCUUGUUUUUAUUUCUUUCAGUCUAUAAGGUCUGGGGACAGGGUGUCCCUUGGGGGCCAGUCCUGCCCUGACAGCAGGGAGGUUUGCCUGCUUCAGCUCUGUCUUCGCUUUUCCCUUAAUCUGGUCCCCGCAUGCACCCUCCCCCUUGUGUCAUCGGUUGCUCUCUGCGUCCCUGGGUGAGCUUAGCAUCUCCCAUCGGUGCUGCUGGGCCUUGAUCCUGGCUGUGGGCUGUCGGUGGUGCAGGGCAGCUUUUGGGGUGCUGCACAACGCAGGAGGAGGCAGAGCUCGGGGGCUCCUCACCUUAAUUACCAGAGCCUUGAUUUUCUGACCUAUAAAACAAUCCUUGUCUAUUUGGGUCUUGCGGUCUUUCUUUGAGGAAACAUUUGAAAUAAUGAUGCUUUUCUAACGGUAAUAAUGACAUUAGGCUCUUAUACAUAACU